GAAAUUUACUGUAAUAAUUUUCUCCAAAAUAAUUUAGAAGGUGGAAAAGAAUUUUCAUGGCUUCAGCACAUUAAAUAUUGAUGCACACAAACAGAUAGUCAGCAAAUGUGUACAUGUGACCGUCUAACUCUGUUGCUUCUUUGUUUUUCCCGGCUCAACAUUUUUCGAGUUUGGUUCCACGUAAUAUGAAGUAGCAAACACAACACAGUUGCAAGACGAAAUUGAAGCCAGUUAUACCUUGCAAGGGCGAGAUUAACCANNN
rnacentral:lncRNA from 1 species